CGGACGGGUGAGUAACACGUGGGAAACCUACCCUUCAGCGGGGGAUAACGGUUCGAAAGAAUCGCUAAUACCGCAUAAGAGGAUCAGUCGCCUGGCUGAUUCGUAAAAGAUGGCUCUGCUAUCACUGAAGGAUGGGCCCGCGGCGCAUUAGCUAGUUGGUAAGGUAACGGCUUACCAAGGCGAUGAUGCGUAGCCGACCUGAGAGGGUAAUCGGCCACAUUGGGACUGAGACACGGCCCAA
rnacentral:rRNA from 1 species